GACGAACGCUGGCGGCGUGCUUAACACAUGCAAGUCGAACGGGCCCGCUCUCUUUUUUGGGGGUGGGUUGAGUGGCGAACGGGUGAGUAUCACGUGAGUAACCUGCCCCCUGCUCCUGGAUAACUGCUUGAAAGGGCGGCUAAUACGGGGUGUGCCGGCUGGUCCGCAUGGGCCUGGUCGGGAUAGUUUCAUCUUCGGGUGUUUCGGUGGGGGAUGGGCUCGCGGCCUAUCAGCUUGUUGGUGGGGUGAUGGCCCACCAAGGCGGUGACGGGUAGCCGGCCUGAGAGGGUGGGCGGCCACACUGGGACUGAGACACGGCCCAGACUCCGGCGGGAGGCAGCAGUGGGGGGUAUUGCACAAUGGACGGAAGCCUGAUGCAGCGACGUCGCGUGAGGGAUGGAGGCCUUCAGGUGGUGAACCUCUUUCUCCGGUGGUGAAGGCCCUGUCCGUUGCGGCGGGGUUGACGGUAGCCGGGGAUGAAGCGCCGGCUAACUACGUG
rnacentral:rRNA from 1 species